rnacentral:sRNA from 1 species
UUCAAGUGGGUGCGGGCUGCGUGAGCGAA